rnacentral:rRNA from 1 species
AGUGAACGCUGGCGGUAGGCCUAACACAUGCAAGUCGAACGGCAGCACAGUAAGAGCUUGCUCUUACGGGUGGCGAGUGGCGGACGGGUGGGGAAUACAUCGGAAUCUACUUUUUCGUGGGGGAUAACGUAGGGAAACUUACGCUAAUACCGCAUACGACCUACGGGUGAAAGCAGGGGAUCUUCGGACCUUGCGCGAUUGAAUGAGCCGAUGUCGGAUUAGCUAGUUGGCGGGGUAAAGGCCCACCAAGGCGACGAUCCGUAGCUGGUCUGAGAGGAUGAUCGGCAACACUGGAACUGAGACACGGUCCAGACUCCUACGGAGGCAGCAGUGGGGAAUAUUGGACAAUGGGCGCAAGCCUGAUCCAGCCAUACCGCGUGGGUGAAGAAGGCCUUCGGGUUGUAAAGCCCUUUUGCUGGGAAAGAAAAGCAGCAGGUUAAUACCCCGCUGUUCUGACGGUACCCAAAGAAUAAGCACCGGCUAACUUCGUG